rnacentral:rRNA from 1 species
GGUAUGGCGGGUGCUAUACAUGCAGUCGAGCGAACAGACGAGGAGCUUGCUCCUCUGACGUUAGCGGCGGACGGGUGAGUAACACGUGGAUAACCUACCUAUAAGACUGGGAUAACUUCGGGAAACCGGAGCUAAUACCGGAUAAUAUAUUGAACCGCAUGGUUCAAUAGUGAAAGACGGUUUUGCUGUCACUUAUAGAUGGAUCCGCGCCGCAUUAGCUAGUUGGUAAGGUAACGGCUUACCAAGGCAACGAUGCGUAGCCGACCUGAGAGGGUGAUCGGCCACACUGGAACUGAGACACGGUCCAGACUCCUACGGGAGGCAGCAGUAGGGAAUCUUCCGCAAUGGGCGAAAGCCUGACGGAGCAACGCCGCGUGAGUGAUGAAGGUCUUCGGAUCGUAAAACUCUGUUAUUAGGGAAGAACAAAUGUGUAAGUAACUAUGCACGUCUUGACGGUACCUAAUCAGAAAGCCACGGCUAACUACGUGCCAGCAGCCGCGGUAAUACGUAGGUGGCAAGCGUUAUCCGGAAUUAUUGGGCGUAAAGCGCGCGUAGGCGGUUUUUUAAGUCUGAUGUGAAAGCCCACGGCUCAACCGUGGAGGGUCAUUGGAAACUGGAAAACUUGAGUGCAGAAGAGGAAAGUGGAAUUCCAUGUGUAGCGGUGAAAUGCGCAGAAA